CCUUCAUAUUCAACAGUUAUUCACAAAGUAUCAAUUUCCAGCAUUAACAGGUUACUAUCUUUUAAGUUUUAUUUUCUUACUUUCCCUUCUCAUAAUUAAUGAUUGGCGAUCUAAAGAUUGAUCAAGAUAAGAUCACAUUUUGGGAAAAAAAAUGAAAUUAAGAUUCCAAGCACUAGCAGAGUAGCAACAACAUAUAUAGAUCUACGUUUUUUUUGUUAUUUGUUGUUGCUGACAUCUUGUUGUAAAUGAAUCGAUUUUUUGUGGGUUUCAUUUGUUAAGGGUUUUAGUUGUAUUACUUGCACAUUUUCUCAAGCAUCGAUUGUAAAUUUUGAAUUAAUCAUCAGAAUUUUAAUGUUGAAUUGGUACUCUUUGAAAAGGAAGAAAACUAGUAAAGCAUUUCUCAACAGCUUUGUUGGAUAUCGGAUAUCCGUCAAUAUCUGAUCCGAAAAUUUUCGGAUAUCGGAUAUCAAAUAUCCGAAAAUUUCGGAUCAGAUACGGAUAUCAUAUUUUAGGUUUUUCAGAUACGGAUAUCCGAUCCGUAAUGUGAUUUCGGAUCGGAUAUCCGAUCCGUGCUCAGCCCUACUCUUGGGCGAAACUAAUACCAGUACCCAAAACCCUCGCAAAUCAAUGUUCAGCGGGAGGCCAUGGCCGGAGUCCAUUUAGAAGUAAAAAUCAGGUGGGUUGUGUUUAUCUGUGCCGGGUAUAAUAAGAGCUAAUAGUGGACAAAGAUGCGUGGUUGGAUGUCAUAACAGAGUAGAUAAGGAGAGACUAAAUAUCGGAACACAAGUUGUUAUUGAUAUGACUGCUGAAUCUUUGUAGUGCAGAUCAAGUGAUACGCAUCAACGCGACAACGCAUAUCCCUGCAUCAUCAAGUUCUUGGAGAUUCUCAUUUUAACGGCAGUAAAGAUUCGAUUUGGUGCGAGAAGUCACCAUGCCUUUUGCAGUUCACAUACCCAGAGUUGAAACUUUUGCCUUUAGGUAAUUAAAGAGGCAGCAACCUUUGAUGGCAACAGAACCGCAGAAUCAUGUUCAGUUUUACACGAAACAGAUAUAUGGGUGAUAACAGUCGACAUGCUGUACAAAAUAAACAGAGAGGAUUAAGGAUUCCUCUGUUUAAUGAGAACAGUUCUUCAUGGGAAACUAGAUAUUUUGCUCAUUUGGGAAACCAGAAAAGUUGAUCAUGGAACAGUGACAUAUUUGGAGAAAAUAGACUUCCUUCUAAGUAAUCUGCUGGAAGCUCACAGUGUUUGGGUCAAUGAUAUAGAGGCUGGAUUCUAGAGAGGGAGGGAAAGCUACUGCAGCAGCUUGAUACAGGUUCGACUGAUGAAUGGAUGGAAUGACUGCCCAUGAGCAACAUAAUAAGUUUCAAGAAUAGCUAUUGUGAUAAUUUACUUCAUAAACGGAGCAUUUGUAGAGUCAUCAAAUGUGCCCCCUUCAAAUGUAUAGGCCCACUUUCAGCGUAAUACACGGACUUCUUUCCACUAGUUUAUCAAAAAAAAGAAAUAUUUCGGCUCCAA